rnacentral:misc_RNA from 1 species
UUUUGCUAUAUGAUUGUCCUAGUUUUAUAUAUCAUUACUAAUUAAGUUACUGAGAGCAUUAUUGGAUUUGGAUGUUAUGGGUGUUUGAUCUUCUUUUAUUUGCUGAUGGCUUUAAUACUCACUUUUGGGCACAAUACUUUCACCUGAGCAGUCUGCUUGAUAUUCUCCAUUGGCACUAGAUGCAGUUUGUUUGGGACAAUGCUAAGGUAUUAGAGAACUAAUUUGGCUUUAUGCUUGGUAGAUUUACAAUAGAGCCUUUCUUUUUGUUAAGAAAAUUAAUGAAAAUUUAUAGGGAGAGGAAGAAGAAUCUCCGUUUGGUAUUCAUUGAUAUAGAAAAGGCAUAUGAUAAAAUAUCGAGGGGAGUUUUUUGGGUGGGUGCUAGAAAAGAAAGGAGUCAAUCUCAAAUGUAUAAAUGUCA